AGCGGCGGACGGGUGAGUAACGCGUAGGAAUCUACCUAGUAGUGGGGGACAACAUGUGGAAACGCAUGCUAAUACCGCAUACGCCCUAAGGGGGAAAGCAGGGGAUCUUCGGACCUUGCGCUAUUGGAUGAGCCUGCGUCGGAUUAGCUAGUUGGUGGGGUAAUGGCCUACCAAGGCAACGAUCCGUAGCUGGUCUGAGAGGAUGAUCAGCCACACUGGGACUGAGACACGGCCCAGACUCCUACGGGAGGCAGCAGUGGGGAAUAUUGGACAAUGGGCGAAAGCCUGAUCCAGCCAUGCCGCGUGUGUGAAGAAGGCUCUAGGGUUGUAAAGCACUUUCAGUAGGGAGGAAAAGUUAGUAGUUAAUAGCUGCUAACCCUGACGUUACCUACAGAAGAAGCACCGGCAAACUCCGUGCCAGCAGCCGCGGUAAUACGGAGGGUGCGAGCGUUAAUCGGAAUUACUGGGCGUAAAGCGCGCGUAGGCGGUUUGAUAAGCUGGAUGUGAAAGCCCUGGGCUCAACCUGGGAAUUGCAUCCAGAACUGUCUGACUAGAGUACAGUAGAGGUGAGUGGAAUUUCCUGUGUAGCGGUGAAAUGCGUAGAUAUAGGAAGGAUCAUCAGUGGCGAAGGCGACUCACUGUACUGAUACUGACGCUGAGGUGCGAAGCGUGAGCAGCAAACAGAAUUAGAUUCCCUGGUAGUUCACGCGC
rnacentral:rRNA from 1 species